AUUGCUUCCUGACCUUUUGGUGAAGAUAAAGUGUAGUAUCUGUUGGUACCAAUGUAAUAUCUGAUACAUCUUCUAUCUGAGAACAAUAUUUUAAAGGUAUUUUGGGAGCAGGGAGACAGAAUAAGAGUAGGCAUCGUCUGCUUCAUGUAUCAGCCUGGCACUACAGUAACUUUGGGAAUUAUGCACCUUCU
rnacentral:snRNA from 1 species